AAUCGAUAAUCCACGAUGGACCUUACUUAAAUUUGUAUUCAGUUUAUAUACCGUCGUUAUUAGAAUAUUUUAUAAGAAUGAUAAUUUUCAUAAUUUUUUAAAAGAAAGGAUAUCAGAUCAAGGUGUAGCUAAUAUUUAAGUAGAAAUGGGUUACAAUAAAUUUAUUUAAACGAAUAUAAAUGUGAAAUGUUUAUUGAAGGUGGAUUUGAUAGUAAAAUUAUAUAGAUUAUUAUUUUGAUUUUAGCUCUAAAAUAUGCACACAUCGCCCGUCACUCUUAUUACUAAGGUAAGAUAAGUCGUAACAUAGUAGAUGUACUGGAAAGUGUACCUAGAAUGCAAUUUAAAGCUUAAUUAGUAAAGUAUUUCAUUUACAUUGAAAAGAUUUUUGUGCAAAUCAAUAUAGAUUGAUUAAUUUUUAUUUAUUAAUUUUUUUUUUUUAUUAUUUAAUUUAUUAAAAAUAAUUAUAAAGUUUAAUGUUUUAGUUUUUUAUAAAAAAAAAAUAA
rnacentral:rRNA from 1 species